AGAAGACGCAGGAACUCUGGAGGAACAAUCAGUACCUUAUAUGCCAAAAAGCUGGGAGAGAAAUAUAAUUAGAGGAGUGUGUGCCGCUGUGGCGCUCGGUUUCAGUGUACUGGGUGUGUUUGGAGAGCUGAGUCCCACCAUGUGUGCAGACCUUUUGGACAUCAUCCGUCACCUGAUCGACCCACACUGCCAGAUUCAUUACACAGAACGUCCUCCUGUAUAAACACUAAAUCCAGUUCACCGUAUAGAGACUGGAGAGAGAAGUGCUCUGAAGAUGACUGGGAGACGGUGAGAAAGCUGCACAGCCGAGCUGGGGAGGCUCCUGACUGACCUUUUGUUACCCAGCACCAAGAGGUCCAAGUGUGGUGGUGUCCAGGGUGAGGAGAACCCCCAGUCCGAGUGGUGACAGAGGGUGGAUGGUGAAGACCACUGGCAGCACCGGUGUAAAGAGCUCACUAUACAAAUGGAUAUACACUGCUGACUUGGAGACUUCCUUGUGCCAUCCUGGCAAUCCUCGAAUGAUAAUGUCAGUGACUGGCUGACGUCUGGAACUCACGGACAUGACCGGAUGCUGAGUCUCCUCCUUUGAAUGCCUUCGGCUGCUGCUUGUUUGUAGGACUUUCUUCCUUCAGUCU